rnacentral:rRNA from 1 species
AACGAACGCUGGCGGCAUGCCUAACACAUGCAAGUCGAACGAGACCUUCGGGUCUAGUGGCGCAGCGGUGCGGGACGCCGGGUAACCUGCCCGUAGGUUCGGAAUAACUGCCCUUAGGGGGUGCUAAGACCGGUUAAUGUAAUCGGACCUACGAGUUCUCGCCUUUGGAUGGGGCCGGGUUGGCUUAGCCAGUUGGUAGUGUAAUAGCCUACCAACGCGACGAUCCAUAGCUGGUCUGAGAGGAUGACAAGCCACACUGGGAAUGAGACACGGCCCAGACUCGGACGCGAGGCUGCAGUGGGGAAUACUGGACACGGGGCGAUAGCCUGACCAAGCCAUGCGGCGUGAGUGAUGCAGGCCUUAGGGUUGUAAAGCCCUUUUACACGGGACGAGAAUGACAGUAACGGGAGAAUAAGCACCGGCUAACUACGUG